rnacentral:rRNA from 1 species
GGAUGCGAUCAUUUCAACACUAACACACCGGAUCCCAUCAAAAUUCCGUAGUCAGGCGUGCUUGGGCGAGGGUAGUACUAUGAUGGCUGACCCCCUAGGAAGUCUUCGUGUUGCAUCCC